UUCGCCCUACGGGAGGCAGCAGUGGGGGAUAUUGCACAAUGGGGGAAACCCUGAUGCAGCGACGCCGCGUGGGCGAAGAAGUAUUUCGGUAUGUAAAGCCCUAUCAGCAGGGAAGAAGAAAUGACGGUACCUGAGUAAGAAGCACCGGCUAACUACGUGCCAGCAGCCGCGGUAAUACGUAGGGGGCAAGCGUUAUCCGGAUUUACUGGGUGUAAAGGGGGCGCAGACGGCGAUGCAAGCCAGGAGUGAAAGCCCGGGGCCCAACCCCGGGACUGCUCUUGGAACUGCGUGGCUGGAGUGCAGGG
rnacentral:rRNA from 1 species